rnacentral:lncRNA from 1 species
AGAGUGAAGCAAUCUUGACAAAGAAGAGAAGAGCCUUAUUAAAGCGAUAACUAUAUUCUAAACUCUUCUUUGUAGCUUAUAAUUGUUAUAUUUGCUCAUCUAGGAGUUUCAACUUUCUUCUUCUUUUUAAUCACCUUGUAAAGGUCUGUUGGUGAGCCCGUAAAACCAACGGUAAAGGUUUGUUGGUGAGCCCGUAAAACCAACGGUGUAGGUUUGUUGGUGAACCUGUAAAACCAAUUGUGAAGGUUCGUCGGUGAGCCCGUAAAACCAACAUAGGUUCUUGGUGAUCCC